rnacentral:rRNA from 1 species
CCUACGGGAGGCAGCAGUGGGGAAUAUUGCACAAUGGGCGCAAGCCUGAUGCAGCAACGCCGCGUGAGUGAAGAAGUAUUUCGGUAUGUAAAGCUCUAUCGGCAGGGAAGAAAGGCCCAUAACAGGGAGAUGACGGUACCUGACUAAGAAGCCCCGGCUAACUACGUGCCAGCCGCCGCGGUAAU